UACUUGAGGAGACGCUGCAUAUUAUGUC
rnacentral:sRNA from 1 species